rnacentral:rRNA from 1 species
AUUGAACGCUGGCGGAAUGCUUUACACAUGCAAGUCGAACGGCAGCACGGGGGCAACCCUGGUGGCGAGUGGCGAACGGGUGAGUAAUACAUCGGUACGUGCCCGGUCGUGGGGGCUAACGUAGCGAAAGUUACGCUAAUACCGCAUCCGAUCUGAGGAUGAAAGCGGGGGACCUUCGGGCCUCGCGCGAUCGGAGCGGCCGAUGUCAGAUUUGGUAGUUGGUGGGGGAAAGGGCUACCAAGCCGACGGUCUGUAGCUGGUCUGAGAGGACGACCAGCCACACUGGGACCGGGAACCGGCCCAGACCCCUACGGGGGGCAACAGUGGGGAAUUUUGGAGAAUGGGCGGAAGCCUGAUCCAGCCAAUCCGGGUGCAGGACGAAGGCCUUCGGGUUGUAAACUGCUUUUGUAUGGAACGAAAAGGCUCUGGCUAAUACCUGGGGCUCAUGACGGUACCGUAAGAAUAAGCACCGGCUAACUACGUGC